GGACUGCAGCCGCCCAGGCGGGGGGCGGGGAAUGAGUCUCUGGGGGCUUGAGGGGAGUGGGCAAUGUUAAGUGGCUGGCCCCUAGCAGGUGCCUGGAGGAGAGCCUAGUGCAGGAAGUAGCCCCCUGGGGGGAGAAGCCGGUGGGCCGGGAAAGGACAAAUGGAAAACGGAAUUAGGGGCCAGGCUCUGAGGCACGGUGAUGGGGAGACAUAGAAGGAGGGGCAGUCUGGUUGGGGGAAGAAAUUGGGGCUGGAGAGUGGGAGAGGUUGAAGUGAGUUAUGGAUCACACAGGAAUAGGGGCUGUGUAUUUGCGUGAGGGCAUGGGGGGGGUGGUUCUGUGGAGUGGAGGGGGGGGAGAUGCAGCAGGGUCAGGAAGAGACUGUGGGGUGGGAAGAAAGCCUGCUGAGUGGAAAGGGGAAAAGGGAAAUUUGAGAUCAAGCCAUCCCAGACCAGAGUCAUCUUCCUUGUCCAGCUCUGAACUCCCUCUCUCUGCCUCAUUUCUUUAACCCCGGGUCAGAGCAUGCUGUUCCCUUUGCUCAUGAUUGCUCCUUUCCUGGUGCAGCGGAGUUCACACUAGCCAGUGUUCUGGUAGAUGGAAAGGUUGCCCCACCUCUCCUGGGCUUCUCUCAUCUUAGCCGGGUUCCCCCCUUCUUCACGUUUUGUCCUUCCUAGGUAGUUGGAGUCUAGCUCCUAGGUAAUGCCAGCCAUAGCUGAGGGCCAGGGGAGCAGGUGGCUGUGCAGAGCCACUUCCAGCCUGUGGACAAAGGGCUGAGACACGGAAAAUCUACCAGUGCCCAUUCCGGCUUAGGCCUGGCUGGGGCAGCCUUGGGUCAAGUCCUCUCUGUAGUCCCGGUUUCUACCAACAUCAGGAAGGGGAGCCGCAAGAACCAUCUAGGCAGGCGCCCGGGGACUGUGUCAGGAUGGAGAGUUCAAUCCCCACCUCUGAAGAUGGGACUUAGCAACACCCUUCCGAAGAACAGAGAAAGGGAAAAGUACAACUUUCAACGAAGAUCAACCUGGCAAACACGGCCUUAACCAGCGCUGAAGGUUAACAUCAGGGACAGGGUGUCACCAGGACAUCGUGGAUAGCACAUGCCCCUCAUGUAACGUGGGAGGGCCAUUUCACCUCUGUAGCAUACUUUCUGAAAGCCCAUAACCCCGGAGUGGGGGAGAGUCUGUAGGAUACUUGACCAAUACACUGCAUGACUGUCAAAAUCAUGGAAAACAAGGACCAAAAGCUAUGACCUGAGGUAACUGGGGAGACAUGCCCACUGAGUGCAAUGUGAUAUGUGGACCAGGUCCUGGAACAGAAAGAGGACAUAAAUGGAAAAGCUGGUGACAUCUAAAUCAAGCGUGGAGUAGGUUAACAGUCAUGUGCCAAUGUCAGCGUCUUCAUUUUGACAAAGGAAGACCUGGGUUUAAGCCCUGCCUCCAUCAAUCUCAAGAUGCGGGACCUCAGGGAAGGGAGGAGAGGUACCACCAAGGAUAUGCAUGGAAGCCGCCAUCACCUGAGUUCUUCAUCUGUAAGCCAGAAGCCAAGCCAGCCUGCGAAAGAAGCGUCUCUCAGCCAGCAUCCCUGACAAGGACACGCCUGCUCCAUGGGGAAGUCUUAGGUACUAUACGCUUGGCCUUCACCACAAAAGCCCUGCCGCCCAGAAAAAUAAACAAUGUUGAGGAAGUAAUGAAGGGAAUCUCUACUCUGAACUUAAAUCUGAUUUAAGAGAAACAGAAGUAAAAUGGAAUUCCUGAGAAUUUGGGGGAAGAAUCAAUGCCAUCUUGUAGCUCAUCAAUCAUCAGGCAGUGAGACUUGCAUCCGAAACCUUUGGAAGGUAGCUUUCGGGAAGUACAGAAAACAAGGUUAUUAUUUCAGAGAAAUAAACUGUGUGAGAAGCCAACGGGCAGCUCUAGACAAAAUCGUAUAGGGAAGAUCCUGAAAUAUGACAGACACUGAUCCUUGGCAAAUCCGAGAACUCAUGAGCAAACAGCACACUACAAUUCCUGAAGGAAACAGUGACGGUAAGGAAUAAGUACAGGGCUGCCAAAGCGGAGUCAAGCUGUGUCUUGGGGUUUUGCGUAGGGGUUUCACAUGAAUGUCAAGGGGAAGGUACAGACUGUGGUCUUUAUUUCAACAAAGCAUCUAAGUGAAAUCUUCAUAAUAUUCUUAAAAGAACAUGAAGGGAAAAAACUGCAGGCAGGAUGGUCUCAUUUGGGGGCUAAGCCCAACGUGCCUCCCCCUAAAAGGGCUGAGCUCUGUGCAUCUUGAGGGAUCUACUGCUGCCAGGGUAGCCAGGGCGUCUCAGACUGCGGGGGGGCAUCCCAGGGCGAGGGUCUGCAGCUUCUCCUUGGAGCCGCGUGCUUUUUCUGCCAGAAUGUUUUCUUCUUGUGUUAUCACCAUGAUGGGCAUCUUUUAAAAACAAACAUCCGCUGGGUGACUGCUCUUUACCAAGCUUUGCGUGUUUUGGGGCCGGGGUGUGUGUGUUUGUGUGUGUGUGUGUGUGUGUUUACAACUGUACUGGUGCCAAGUGGCACCACUGACUGCGUGGGCUAAUUAAGACAACUUAAUUCUGCAUGUUUAACUCAUGCUAUAUUUGUGCAAAGUGAGGGAAGAUGGCUCUCAAGAAGCGUGGCAGGAGUGUGCCGCUUGGCACAGGACACUGCAGGGUAGGCGUGCGAGAAACUCAAGCAGCCUGAGUGUCAAGUCGGCAGCGCUGAUGCUGACAACAGUGAUCUGGAUUCAUUCAAUUGUCAUCUGCCCAGAAUGGGGCUGUUGCUGGGACUUUUCCUGGUUUCUCUGGUUGUGCUUUAAUUUUAUAGGAGCUGGGUCAAUGAGCUGAUAAACAGAUUUGCAUGCAUAAUUAAGUAAAGUUGCAGCAUUAUAAUGGAAACGAUCUAAGUUGACUCAUAAAUAGUUUUUCUUUAGAGCCAUGGCGUUCCAACCAUUUAGACCACGAACCACAGUUACAAAAACAGUUUACGUGAGGACCCAGUGUGCGCACACCCACACACUUCCCUGUCCUGGGCUCACACGAGAAUGGAAAAUGUGGCUUUAGAGUAGCCGAUCCACUACCCAAGCUUGGAAAACCAGGCGAAGACCAAGCAAAGUUCAACUCGCAGAUGUCACAGAACAGAGAAGGAUGAUAAUAAGAACACUGGCUGUCGGUAUGAGGGUUCAGAGAGAUCUUUAAAAACUAGUAGGUGCAGUGCUUUGGAGCACAAAGCUGUAGACCUAAAUGAGAGUUGGGGCCAUGCCGUCAUCUGUGGAGUGGCUGGGGCCCCCCUCUCAGGCUGUGCCAUCUACAGGACAGAGGGAACAGCACCCUCCUGGGAUCCUGGCAGGCGUCAAUAAUUACUACAGAGGCAGCGAGCACACAGUGGUAAUCACUAAAUAGUGGUUUAAACUUUGAAGUUGAGUACAUCCUGCACUUGGGGUAAAAAAAAAAAACAAACCUCGCAUACAUAUAGGACGAAACAACAGAGCUUAAUAGUGGUUCUGUGAAAAAGCCCCAGUGGGUUUGACUCAAAGCUAAACGCGAGACAAGAGAAUCUAGAUGUGGCUGCCAAAACUCUACUGCAAUUUUGGGAUUGCAUUCCCAGAAAGUUCAAUCAUGGAGGAAUAAAAAAAAUCGUCCUAGUGUGUUCUGCACAUUUGGGUCACAUCUGGAGUGUCAGGUUUCGUUCUGAGGGAUAUUUUGAAAGGGGCAUUUUCAAUUGGAGCUUGUUCAGAGGACAGCAGCAAUGGUCUGCCAGGACUAGUGAGACCCACCAGGGCAUUCAUCCCAUCCCUGGUUCAAAGACUUCGUGAAGGGUGGAGACGUCAAGAAGGCAGACUCUGAGGUGCCUGGCUGGCCCAGCAGAUAGUGGGUGUGACUUCUGAUCUCGGGGUUGUGAGUCUGAGCCCCAUGUUGGAUGCAGAGUCUGCUUUAAAAAGGCAGACUGCAGACUAACAGAAGGGAGAACUUUGAAAAAAUGUCAUCAGUUGCCUUUUGAGGUCAUGUUCCGUUUAGACAGAGGCAGGAUGUGUGUCUCUGCUGGAGAUGGGAGGUCUAGAUAGGGUGGGAAGCAGAGUUAGAUGAUCUUUAAGAUUAUUUUUUAAUUCUCAGACCAUGUUGCUGUUAAAAGCACAAGCUGAGUUAGUUGCGGCUAAGUCUGGGAAGGGAAGCCAGGGGCUCUCCCAGGAGGCGCCCCUGGACUCAGGUUCCCUUAGCUAAAAUGGGGGACUGACCCUCCCGCAGAUACCUUCCGCUAAGGAAACGGGCACAGAGCAGGGUGCAAUGAAAUGAGAACAGGCCUCGUGGUUCUUACUCAACUCCCUUUCCCAUCUUCCUCUCUCCCCCUAUAGGCGUCCUUACCCUGGAUUCAAAACAGUUUGGAGAUGGGGCUGGGAUCAGAGCAAUUCUUCAGUUAGGAAGUUACAGCAUAAUUUACUGAAGCAAGCGGCCAGAACUGCUGGGGCUGACAUUGUACCUUUUCUGUUUGGUUUCAUUUUCCUCCCCAGCCGGCUCCUGAAAUAACCCUCUAGCUCUCAAACCAAUGUUUAAUUAUAUCCGGGGAUUAACCAUGAAAGGGAAAAAAGCAGCAUUUCCAGUUGGGUGUUUGAAAAUGAAAAGUGGUUCAGAAGGAGCGUAGAUACGUAACUGCAAGACUGUGAUCAAAGGCACUUUGAACCUCAUUAAUUUGGAACUUUGUAUUUAAACGUGUAAUUUGGACAUAAAUUGUGCUUAAAUUUGUCUUUGUACUAUUCACAGUGAGGCUAACUAGUGUAUGAAAACUGCAAAGGGACCCCUGGGCAUCAUCACGCAAUUGUUUUAUGCCACUUCUACCAUUUUAA